rnacentral:rRNA from 1 species
GGGAAUAUUGCACAAUGGGGGAAACCCUGAUGCAGCAACGCCGCGUGGGUGAAGAAGUAUUUCGGUAUGUAAAGCCCUAUCAGCAGGGAAGAGAAUGACGGUACCUGACUAAGAAGCCCCGGCUAACUACGUGCCAGCAGCCGCGGUAAUACGUAGGGGGCAAGCGUUAUCCGGAUUUGCUGGGUGUAAAGGGAGCGUAGACGGUUGUGCAAGUCUGAAGUGAAAGCCCGCGGCUCAACUGCGGAACGGCUUUGGAAACUGUGUAACUGGAGUGCUGGAGAGGUAAGCGGAAUUCCUGGUGUAGCGGUGAAAUGCGUAGAGAUCAGGAGGAACACCGGCGGCGAAGGCGGCUUACUGGACAGUAACUGACGUUGAGGCUCGAAAGCGUGGGGAGCAAACAGG